AUUUUAUGAAAUUCCACUUUGAGUAAAUAUAUUUGUGGGUAUUACACUGACAGUUAUCCGAAGGACGGGACAAUAAGGUAGGUUCUUCAGCUUGCACCAUCGACGAGGAUUUGACGCUAGGGUUUGUGAUCGAUCAUCUCUUGGUUCUUCCAACAGCCUCAUGUGGGGUAGUACCUGGAAGAAACCCCAUUCUUUGGAGGCAGAGUGGAGCCUGCCCAGUUCAGAAUCCAUGGAUUCUUCAGAUAACAAGCGUUGCAUGUCGAUGACUGGGACUUCAUGAGAGGGAUCCCAUUGGAUAGCUUGCCCCUGCGCAGGACGGACGUAUCGGGGUGGAACAGUGACGCUCGACUCCUUGGCCAGCUCCUGGACACAAGGCACAGGAAGGGAUCCCCAACUCACCUGCGCAGCCGAUUCAGCCGGCUCCAUACUUCUGUAUGGGAUGGAGAUAUACGGCUCUUGUUGAUCCUUCUUUGUAUUGCUCUUGAUAAAGAGCGUUGAAGAUAGGGAUGCUCAACAAUGUCUACUCUAAAUCAAACCACCAUGAGUAAUUUUUUGGACUGUUUUGAGUGGAAUGUAUUAACGAUGGGCAAUAUUUUAUGUAUUCAUUGACUGCUGACAAGAAAAAGAACUCAAGGUGUCUUUGUACCUAAUGGUCUUUUUGUGGAGGAAGGUGUCAUGUGCCAGCUAAGACCUGCUCUGUUUGUCAUCUGAAAUUCUAUACCUAUUGGAGGUUUAUUGUCUUCUUGCA